AGUAAAACACUAUUAGGAUAAUUCAUAAAAGGAAUCCAAUUUCAAGAACCUUUACUAUUGAUAACACUGUAUUUUACUCAUUUUAGGUGUAUGUUUAUCAUCAUUUAGCUUUGCAUUUGCUCAUUGUAUCAUGUCAUUUUGCACCAUUUUAGCUUGUUUUGCAUACUUAGGCAUCUAGGAUCAUCUUGCAUUCGCAUUGCAUGUUUUGGUGUGUUUUUAGGUGCAAAAGGAGCUUAAAAGGACUCUACUCGAUCCAUUCACUCGAUCCAGGCAGCUACAGAAGAGGCAUCAUUCUACUCGACCUCUUUACUCGAUCCAGGAUGCCACAGAGGAGGCUGCAGUUUACUCGACCCUCCUACUCGAUCAAGGCAACCUCAGACGAAGCAGUAGAUUCAACUACUCGCCCCUCCUACUCGAUCCACUACUCGAUCCAUUUACUCGACCAAGGGUGACCAUCUCUACAAGACUUGUUGAGCUAUCAAAGCGUCUUCGAAUCCUCCUCAUUCCCCACUCAACCAGACAUCUGAGCAUACGGAUAGGAGAGCAUGAAGCAUCUACUCGACCAAUUGAUCACUCGGAGCAUAGACACAAAGGCGCAGACUUUGCAGCAUCCCCUUUACUCGAUCUCCAAGGUCGAGUAUUCACCCAAACCGCCUCAAGUCUCUUGUCUUCUAGUGAAUCUAGGGUUUCAACAUUUUAGUAUAAAUAGACCACUUUGGGAUUUGUCCAAGGGAUCUAUGCUUUAUCUUUCAGUUUUUCUUUGUGUUUAUGAAUCUUGAAACUUUAAUUACUCUUAAUCUAUUUCAUUUUUGCAUUUGAUUGUUUAAGUAAAGUUGUUUAGCUUGUUUAGAUCUACAUUUUGGUAUGAUUUUGGUAAUUUCUAGGUUUGUGUUCUUGAGAAUGUUGCUUGAGUAGUGAUUAGGGUUCUUGAGGAUGGAUUAGAUUAGGGUAAUCUCUAGGUUAGUUAGGUGGUUAGUGUUUAGGUUUAUACCCUUCUGGAUUCGCUUGGCCCCUAUGCGGUUUUCGCUGGCUAAUGUGGAGAUUCGAUCAUCGACGUCCAGCGUCCAAAAGACUUUCAAAUGGAUGUCUGACCUACGAAUUCCAGAGAUAUGUAGACUCGACCAAGGGAUUGGCUUGUCUGCCUAUUGGCUUUGGUAGAUUGUUUGUUAAACCCUGCUCUACUAUGUUUCAUCAACGAGGGUUGAGAUUAGGAAGUGGUAGAGUUAUGGGGGUCUCUGUCACGAGAGUGGAUUGACCCGGUUUUUGAAUCUAUCGUCAUGGGUAUCUACCUUUCGCCUAUUAACCAUUUGAUGAACCCUAGAGUUACCCUUAUCAAUGAAUCCAUCCUUAGAACUUCUAUUAG
rnacentral:sRNA from 1 species